rnacentral:rRNA from 1 species
AAAUUGAAGAGUUUGAUCAUGGCUCAGAUUGAACGCUGGCGGCAGGCCUAACACAUGCAAGUCGAACGGUAGCACAGAGAGCUUGCUCUCGGGUGACGAGUGGCGGACGGGUGAGUAAUGUCUGGGAAACUGCCUGAUGGAGGGGGAUAACUACUGGAAACGGUGGCUAAUACCGCAUAACGUCGCAAGACCAAAGAGGGGGACCUUCGGGCCUCUUGCCAUCAGAUGUGCCCAGAUGGGAUUAGCUAGUUGGUGAGGUAACGGCUCACCAAGGCGACGAUCCCUAGCUGGUCUGAGAGGAUGACCAGCCACACUGGAACUGAGACACGGUCCAGACUCCUACGGGAGGCAGCAGUGGGGAAUAUUGCACAAUGGGCGCAAGCCUGAUGCAGCCAUGCCGCGUGUAUGAAGAAGGCCUUCGGGUUGUAAAGUACUUUCAGCGGGGAGGAAGGUGUUGUGGUUAAUAACCGCAGCAAUUGACGUUACCCGCAGAAGAAGCACCGGCU